UACGUAGGGUGCAAGCGUUAAUCGGAAUUACUGGGCGUAAAGCGUGCGCAGGCGGUUAUGUAAGACAGGUGUGAAAUCCCCGGGCUUAACCUGGGAACUGCAUUUGUGACUGCAUAGCUAGAGUACGGUAGAGGGGGAUGGAAUUCCUGGUGUAGCAGUGAAAUGCGUAGAUAUCGAGAGGAACACCUGCGGCGAAGGCGGGUUGCUGGGCUGACACUGACGCUGAUGUGCGAAAGCUAGGGGAGCGAACGGG
rnacentral:rRNA from 1 species